rnacentral:rRNA from 1 species
GCCGAGCCACACAAACGUUAAUCGGAAUUACUGGGCGUAAAGCGCGCGUAGGCGGCUUUGCAAGUCGGAUGUGAAAUCCCCAGGCUUAACCUGGGAACUGCAUUCGAGACUGCAUUGCUAGAGUAUGGGAGAGGGAAGUGGAAUUUCCGGUGUAGCGGUGAAAUGCGUAGAUAUCGGAAGGAACAUCAGUGGCGAAAGCGACUUCCUGGACAAAUACUGACGCUCAUGUGCGAAAGCGUGGGGAGCAAACAGG